rnacentral:rRNA from 1 species
AGGAAUAUUGGUCAAUGGGCGGGAGCCUGAACCAGCCAAGUCGCGUGAGGGAAGACGGUCCUAUGGAUUGUAAACCUCUUUAGGCGGGGAGCAAUGCCGGGCACGCGUGCCCGGAGGGAGAGUACCCGCAGAAUAAGCAUCGGCUAACUCCGUGCCAGCAGCCGCGGUAAUACGGAGGAUGCGAGCGUUAUCCGGAUUUAUUGGGUUUAAAGGGUGCGUAGGCGGCAGAUUAAGUUAGAGGUGAAAUUCCGAGGCUCAACCUUGGCACUGCCUCUGAUACUGGUUUGCUAGCGAGUAGAUGCUGUAGGCGGAAUGUGUGGUGUAGCGGUGAAAUGCAUAGAGAUCACACAGAACACCGAUUGCGAAGGCAGCUUACAAAUCUAUAUCGGACGCUGAGGCACGAAAGCGUGGGGAGCAAACAG